AAUUCAUUUGUUGGUAAUCGUGUGCACGUUUUUAUAAUAAGCUUCCAGAAGACAUAUUGGAGAUGUCUCUCAACAAGUUCAAAGUUUUCAUAAAACGUAAACUGAUU